GCGGGGAUGCCGGACUCCAGCUCGCACAGCGCGCGGAAGUUGUGCAGCUCAAAGUCGGCGUCGACCUGAAGGGAAAAGGUCACCUCGGAGAGGUCCCUCCGCACACAGUACACGGUUGUUGGUGUACUUUCAGCUGUACAUCAUCCUCAGGAAGUCGGGAGAUGUUAGCUCCUCCAGUCACCACUCUGCAGAGGAAGAGCUACUCGGAAGCAGUUCACUUCCUUAGAGGGGCAAAGAGGAUGCCACCUCAAAGAAAUGCAUAGGACACUGGCUGGGGCUUGCAAAAAUCUGAACAUUUUCUUCAAGAAAAAAAAUAAAUGGCACUGCACUCAGAGGCUGGCUUGAAGGACAAAGCAGAUAUUGGAACUUGUACAGUUUACUAGAACGGUGCUUUCGACACUUUAUUCUGUCAUGGGACAUGCAGAAAAUGAUACAGUUUGUGUAUCCCACUGAGAUGAAGCUGUUGGUAUGUGUUAUGAAAGUAAAUGACAACUGCACAAAUUUGUAAGAUCGUACAUGACACUUCAAAGAGACGUUGUGAUUAAUGGAGGACUCCUUCGAGCUACGUCUCUAGACUUCUCUCUUCCGCCAUCGGUGAAAACUGUCACCUUGAUACUGGAAGAGACUGCCAUCAGAGAAAGAGCCUCCGAGAGAUAAAAGGACAGCAGAGGCACACGUGGUCAGAGGCCAUCUGAGGAGAGUGUGACGGAAGGGACUACUCAGUAGUAGCAAAUGAUGAAGAGAGGUCGAAGAAUUGUCACCUUGUGCCUGGCACAUUAGGCACUCAGAUAUUUGUGAGAAUAAAAGAAAAACCAGAAGUAACAAAAUGAUACAGUCAGGACAAGCAAAAUGAAAGAAAUAACGGUAGAAUUUGGGCAUCGAGGUGUUAAGAGAAUAACUAAGAGAUUGUUGUAUUUGUUUCCAAAAAUGGUGGGGACCCACGUCCUCCGCAGCCCCUUCCCAACACUGAACACCGUU